rnacentral:misc_RNA from 1 species
GGUAUAGUUCCCCGCAUCCAAUUCUCUCAUACAGACAUUCUCAUGCUUUAUAUGCCUCGGGUAUCAAAAACAUUGUCAGUUGACAAGCAGAUGUUUACAACCUGUAGACUGGGAACUUGAUAUGUGGGCUGUACUCUGCUGAACAGUUUUUCACAAUCGUUAUAUUUUUAAAUAGUGAACGAAUUUAUCUAGGCUUAUCUUAAUAUUAAAUGCAUUCAAGAUAAGAAUUCGCCCG